CUAUUAUACAAUUUCGUAAAUUUUCUCUCUUAAUUUCAUUAUGUUUCAAUUUCAUAUAUGUCUGUAACUUAAUUUCAAUUUCAUUAUAUAUGUCCGUAUUAACUGAAACCACAUAUAUUAUACUAAUAAAUUAAAUAUGUAACUUUGAAUUUUGAGAUGGGGUGGCCUCUUCACACAAGCUCUAAGCUUCUUGAGGUCUCCUCGCCGACUUUAUUUUAUUAUAAUAUUUUGUAAAUAGCUAACAGUCUUUUUUUUGGCAAAUAAAUUCUGCGUGUAAAUUCACGUGUAAAUUCUGCCCAAAUUCUCGGCGUUACGAUCCAAACCAAAAUGAAUUGGAAUGAACACGUUAAUAAAAUUGUUAAGAAAUCUGGGAAAAGAUUGUAUAUGCUCAGGUUAUUGAAACGAGCCAACGCUGACACUAGAAUGUUAUCCAUCGCAUUUACCACUAUUAUAAGGCCAGUCUUAGAAUACGCUUGCCAAGUUUGGCACUUCAACAUUCCAGGUUAUUUGAGUGAUGAUAUUGAAAGGGUUCAAAGAAGAGCUUUGAAAAUUAUUUUACCAGAACUUAGCUAUAACGAUGCACGCGAACUUAUUAAUAUUCCAUCCUUGAAGGAACGACGUGAGAUUUUAUGCGAACAGUUCUUUUUGAGAGAUGAGAACCUUCAAAAAUUUGAUGAAUUUUUACCUAAUAAAUCCUCUUCGGUCUAUGAUACGAGGGGAAAUUGUAAAUAUAAUAAUUAUUAUUGUAAAACAGAACGUUUUAGAAAAUCCUUCUUAC